UUGGGAUAUAACUGGCACAACUUUGUAAUAAAAUCGUUUCAAAUAUUGUUCUGUUUCAGUUUCCCACCAAAAAUAUGUAUUAAUUCAAAUUAAUAAAAAAAAUCUUGAAAAAAAAAUACAAUAUUUGGAGCCAAAAUAGACCUUUACCAAGCAAAACCUACUCCUUUCUCAUAAUUUAAAAUCAGCAUACCUUUUUUUAUCAGAUUCAUAUGUAAUAAAUGGAACAGAACACACAUAGCAAUUUUC
rnacentral:lncRNA from 1 species